GACGUAGGGCGCGAGCGUUGUCCGGAUUUAUUGGGCGUAAAGAGCUCGUAGGCGGCUCAUUGCGUCAACCGUGAAAACCAGCAGCUCAACUGUUGGCUUGCGGUUGAUACGGGUGGGCUGGAGUUCGGUAGGGGAGACUGGAAUUCCUGGUGUAGCGGUGAAAUGCGCAGAUAUCAGGAGGAACACCGGUGGGCGAAGGCGGGUCUCUGGGCCGACAUUGACGCUGGAACGGCGAAAAGCUAGGGGAGCAAACGGG
rnacentral:rRNA from 1 species